GACGUAGGGUCCGAGCGUUGUCCGGAGUUACUGGGCGUAAAGGGCGCGUAGGCGGCUUCGUGCGUCACCCCGUGAAAGCCCCCGGCUCAACCGGGGAGGGUCGUGUGAAACGGCGGAGCUGGAGGCAGCGAGAGGCUGGUGGAAUUCCCGGAGUAGUGGUGAAAUGCGUAGAGAUCGGGAGGAACACCGGUGGCGAAGGCGGGUCUCUGGGCAGUAACUGACGCUGAGGAGCGAAAGCGUGGGGAGCGAACAGG
rnacentral:rRNA from 1 species